rnacentral:rRNA from 1 species
UGCUUGGGAAUUUGCCUUGAGGUGGGGACGAACAGUUGGAACGAACUGCUAAUACCGCAUGAUAGCUACGGCUUAAAGAAGGGCGUUCGGCUCUCGCCUUUAGUAGAAGCCCAACGUGGGAAUUAGGUAGUUGGUGAGGUAAAGGCUCACCAAGCCAACGAUCCCUAGCUGGUCUGAGAGGAUGAUCAGCCACACUGGAACUGAGACACGGUCCAGACUCCUACGGGAGGCAGCAGUGGGGAAGUAUUGCACAAUGGGGGAAACCCGUGAUGCAGCCAUGCCGCGUGUGUGAAGAAGGCC